rnacentral:rRNA from 1 species
AACGAACGCUGGCGGCAUGCCUAACACAUGCAAGUCGAACGAGACCUUCGGGUCUAGUGGCGCACGGGUGCGUAACGCGUUGGAUCCUGCCCUUAGGUUCGGAAUAACUCCCCGAAAGGGGUGCUAAUACCGGAUAAUGUCUUGGGACCAAAGAUUUAUCGCCUUUGGAUGGGCCCGCGUUGGUUUAGGUAGUUGGUAGGGUAUAAGCCUACCAAGGCGACUAUCCAUAGCUGGUCUGUGAGGAGGAUCAGCCACACUGGGACUGAGACACGGCCCAGACUCCUACGGGAGGCAGCGGUGGGGAAUAAUGGAGUAUGGGCGAAAGCCUGAUACAGCAAGGCCGCGUGAGUGAUGAAGGCCUUAGGGUUGUAAAGCUCUUUUACCCGGGAUGAUAAUGACAGUACCGGGAGAAUAAGCUCCGGCUAACUCCGUG